rnacentral:rRNA from 1 species
UACGUAAGGUCCGAGCGUUGUCCGGAAUCAUUGGGCGUAAAGGGUCUGUAGGCGGAUAAGCAAGUUAGAAGUGAAAUCCUAUAGCUCAACUAUAGUAAGCUGUUAAAACUGCUCAUCUGGAGGUAUGGAAGGGAAGGUGGAAUUCCUAGUGUAGCGGUGAAAUGCGCAGAUAUUAGGAGGAAUACCGGUGGCGAAGGCGACUUUCUGGCCAUAAACUGACGCUGAGGUACGAAAGCGUGGGGAGCAAAUGGG